GGACACCCCUGCUCUAGACCCUUUUGCACAGCAGCCAUUUUGACAUGAAAUAGCAGAUAUACCAACUGUUUGUCCAGUCCAAAAGACCGAUUUAGAGGUUUAGUAACUGAGCUGCACCAAGAAGGAGGGAGGCUCCACCAUGACGAUGGACCUGUUCCUAAGCUUAAACAUGGCAAUGCAUGCACAAAUGCUGUUGCAGAGGCUUUCCAGUGAGCCAGCAUGAACAACACCAGGCCUGGCUCUGUUAGACCUCAAUGGACCUGAACCUGAAUUAAUGUCACCAGUAACAUCUGGGUUUACCCCACUAUUUCAUGUCAAAAUGGCGGCUGUGAAAAAAAUCUAUAGCUUGUUCAACCUGAUUCACCAUGUGAGCCAAUAAUACAAACACUGGCAAC